CAAGCGGUGGAGCAUGUGGUUUAAUUCGAUGCAACGCGAAGAACCUUACCUGGUCUUGACAUCCACAGAAUCUUGCAGAGAUGCGAGAGUGCCUUCGGGAACUGUGAGACAGGUGCUGCAUGGCUGUCGUCAGCUCGUGUUGUGAAAUGUUGGGUUAAGUCCCGCAACGAGCGCAACCCUUAUCCUUUGUUGCCAUUGGUUCGGCCGGGAACUCAAAGGAGACUGCCGUUGAUAAAGCGGAGGAAGGUGGGGACGACGUCAAGUCAUCAUGGCCCUUACGACCAGGGCUACACACGUGCUACAAUGGCGUAUACAAAGGGAGGUGACCUCGCGAGAGCAAGCGGACCUCAUAAAGUACGUCUAAGUCCGGAUUGGAGUCUGCAACUCGACUCCAUGAAGUCGGAAUCGCUAGUAAUCGUGAAUCAGAAUGUCACGGUGAAUACGUUCCCGGGCCUUGUACACACC
rnacentral:rRNA from 1 species